UACGUAGGGUGCAAGCGUUAAUCGGAAUUACUGGGCGUAAAGGGCUCGUAGGCGGCCAACUAAGUCAGACGUGAAAUCCCUCGGCUUAACCGGGGAACUGCGUCUGAUACUGGAUGGCUUGAGUUCGGGAGAGGGAUGCGGAAUUCCAGGUGUAGCGGUGAAAUGCGUAGAUAUCUGGAGGAACACCGGUGGCGAAGGCGGCAUCCUGGACCGACACUGACGCUGAGGAGCGAAAGCCAGGGGAGCAAACGGG
rnacentral:rRNA from 1 species